rnacentral:tRNA from 1 species
GGAGAGAUGGCAGAGCGGUCGAAUGCAUCAGUCUUGAAAACUGAAGACCCUUCACGGGGUCCGGGGGUUCGAAUCCUCCUCUCUCCG